rnacentral:rRNA from 1 species
AUUGAACGCUGGCGGCAGGCCUAACACAUGCACGUCGAACGAGUGGCGGACGGGUGAGUAAUGUCUGGGAAACUGCCUGAUGGGGGGGGAUAACUCCUGGACACGGUAGCUAAUACCGCAUACCAUCAGAUGUGCCCAGAUGGGAUUAGCUAGUUGGUGGGGUAACGGCUCAACAAGGAGACGAUCCCUAGCUUGUCUGAGAGGAUGACCAGCUAUACGGGAACUGAGACACGGUCCAGACUCCGACGGGAGGCAGCAGUGGGGAAUAUUGCACAAUGGGCGCAAGCCGGAUGCAGCCAUGCCGCGUGUAUGAAGAAGGCCUUCGGGUUGUAAAGUACUGUCAGCGGGGAGGCGUGACCCGCAGAAGAAGUACCGGCUAACGCCGUGCCAGCCGCCGCGGUAAUAC